GACGAACGCUGGCGGCGUGCCUAAUACAUGCAAGUAGAACGCUGAAGGAGGAGCUUGCUUCUCUGGAUGAGUUGCGAACGGGUGAGUAACGCGUAGGUAACCUGCCUGGUAGCGGGGGAUAACUAUUGGAAACGAUAGCUAAUACCGCAUAAGAGUAGAUGUUGCAUGACAUUUGCUUAAAAGGUGCAAUUGCAUCACUACCAGAUGGACCUGCGUUGUAUUAGCUAGUUGGUGGGGUAACGGCUCACCAAGGCGACGAUACAUAGCCGACCUGAGGGGGUGCUCGGCCACACUGGGACUGAGACACGGCCCAGACUCCUACGGGAGGCAGCAGUAGGGAAUCUUCGGCAAUGGACGGAAGUCUGACCGAGCAACGCCGCGUGAGUGAAGAAGGUUUUCGGAUCGUAAAGCUCUGUUGUAAGAGAAGAACGAGUGUGAGAGUGGAAAGUUCACACUGUGACGGUAUCUUACCAGAAAGGGACGGCUAACUACGUG
rnacentral:rRNA from 1 species